rnacentral:rRNA from 1 species
AUUGAACGCUGGCGGCGUGCCUAAUACAUGCAAGUCGAACGCAGUGGGGACGGGUGAGUAACACGUGGGUAACCUCCCAUCAGAGGGGAUAACACUUGGAAACAGGUGCUAAACCGAUACUAUCAGAUGAACACAGAUGGGAUUAGCUAGUAGGGGUGGUAAAGGCUCACCUAGGCGACGAUCUCUAGCUGGUCUGAGAGGUUGAUCAGCCCAACUGGGAUUGAGACACGGCCCAGACGCCUACGGUAGGCAGCAGUAGGGAAUCUUCGGCAAUGGACGAAAGUCUGACCGAGCAACGCCGCGUGAGUGAAGAAGGUUUUCGGAUCGUAAAACUCUGUUGUUAGAGAAGCGGUAUCUAACCAGAAAGCCACGGCUAACUACGUGCCAGCAGCCGCGGUAAUAC